ensembl:snRNA U6 U6 spliceosomal RNA
GUGCCUGCUGCAGCAGCACAUAUACUAAAAUUGGAAUGAUACAGAGAAGAUUAGCCCCUGCACAACGAUGAUACGCAAAUUCGCGAAGCAUUCCAUAUUUUU